rnacentral:hammerhead_ribozyme from 1 species
GUGGCUGACGAGUCUCAAAUAGGACGAAACGCGCUUCAAUCUGCAU